UACGUAGGGGGCGAGCGUUGUCCGGAUUCAUUGGGCGUAAAGAGCUCGUAGGCGGCUUGGCAAGUCGGGUGUGAAAACUCCAGGCUCAACCUGGAGACGCCACCCGAUACUGCCAUGGCUUGAGUCCGGUAGGGGACCACGGAAUUCCUGGUGUAGCGGUGAAAUGCGCAGAUAUCAGGAGGAACACCGGUGGCGAAGGCGGUGGUCUGGGCCGGUACUGACGCUGAGAAGCGAAAGCAUGGGGAGCGAACAGG
rnacentral:rRNA from 1 species